GACGAACGCUGGCGGCGUGCUUAACACAUGCAAGUCGAACGAUGAAGCCGGAGCUUGCUCUGGUGAAUUAGUGGCGAACGGGUGAGUAACACGUGAGUAACCUGCCCUUGACUCUGGGAUAACUGCGGGAAACUGUAGCUAAUAUCGGAUACGACCCUCGGAGGCAUCUCCUGCGGGUGGAAAGAAUUUCGGUAAAGAAUGGACUCGCGGCCUAUCAGCUAGUUGGUGAGGUAAAGGCUCACCAAGGCGACGACGGGUAGCCGGCCUGAGAGGGUGACCGGCCACACUGGGACUGAGACACGGCCCAGACUCCUACGGGAGGCAGCAGUGGGGAAUAUUGCACAAUGGGCGCAAGCCUGAUGCAGCAACGCCGCGUGAGGGAUGACGGCCUUCGGGUUGUAAACCUCUUUUAGUAGGGAAGAAGCGAAAGUGACGGUACCUGCAGAAAAAGCACCGGCUAACUACGUGCCAGCAGCCGCAGUAA
rnacentral:rRNA from 1 species